AAAGAAAUAGAAGAAUAAAU
rnacentral:sRNA from 1 species